CGGUUAAACUAGAGGGUCUAGUUAUAUUGUUAAGGUAAAAAGGUGGUUAGAUAUUGUAUUUAAGUGGCGGCUUAUAUAAAUUACCAUGGAGAAGUGAAAUUUUGAUAUGGAUAAAUAAAUCAAAAAUGGCUGAAUAUAUUGAAUCCACAAUAGCUUUGAGGGAAACUGGGAUUUGAUACCCCAUUAUUCUUAGCUGUAAAUAGAUGUUGAGUUUACCAGAGUACUAUGAAUAUUAAAAUUUAAAACUCAAAGAGCUUGGCGGUGUUUUAGACCACUUAGGGGAACCUGUCUCAUAAUCGAUAAUCCACGGUGUACCUUACCUUUUAUUGAAAUCAGCCUGUACACCGUUGUCAUCAGGUAACUUUUUAGAAGGUUUGAGUUAGCAAUAAAAUUUAUAAUUAAUUUGAAUGUCAAAUCAAGGUGCAGCUAAUGAAAAGGGGAGGAUGGGUUACAAUUAAAAUUUAUAAAAUGAAUCAAGUAAUGAAAUUUACUUGUGAAGGAGGACUUAAAAGUAAGAUUAUGUAUAAAAAUAAUCUGAAUUAGGCUCUGAAAUGUGUACUAAUCGCCC
rnacentral:rRNA from 1 species